rnacentral:rRNA from 1 species
CCUACGGGUGGCAGCAGUGGGGAAUAUUGGACAAUGGGGGAAACCCUGAUGCAGCGACGCCGCGUGAGUGAAGAAGUAAUUCGGUAUGUAAAGCUCUAUCAGCAGGGAAGAAAAUGACGGUACCUGAGUAAGAAGCCCCGGCUAACUACGUGCCAGCAGCCGCGGUAAUACGUAGGGGGCAAGCGUUAUCCGGAUUUACUGGGUGUAAAGGGAGCGUAGACGGCAGGGCAAGUCUGGAGUGAAAGGCGGGGGCUCAACCCCCGGACUGCACUGGAAACUGUACGGCUGGAGUGCAGGAGAGGUAAGUGGAAUUCCUAGUGUAGCGGUGAAAUGCGUAGAUAUUAGGAAGAACACCAGUGGCGAAGGCGGCUUACUGGACUGUAACUGACGGUGAGGCUCGAAAGCGUGGGGAGCAAACAGGAUUAGAUACCCGGGUAGUC